UUCAGCUGUUUAAGGACUCAGCCAGGAGAAAUCAGUUCUUCUGCAGGACAGGAGACACGGCCUGGAGGCCAAACUAGCUGGUGGGGUACUUAGGACUGGUGAAACUGCCCUAUUGGUUGGUAACAUUUUUAUCAAUAAAGGAAGAGAAUCUCAGAGAACUCAGACAAAAGAGCCCCCCCCUUUUUUUUAAUCGCUGCAGUGUUUCAGAGGAGCAAGGAUAGAAGAAGCAAAGAAAUGUGCCCUGGCUUGCAAAACGGAAGGAAGGAACGAAAGCCCUGUCGAAUUACCUCAUUUUCUUUAUUAAAAGAUGCUUACCACUCUGAUUAGCUUUGAGCUCAGUUGCAGUUCCUCGAGGAUUAUUCUCCACAAGCAAAAAGGAGACAAGCACAAAGGACAGUAAUCCAGGUAGACCAACAACAAAAAAAGCCUCUUCUUUAUCCUGAAGCCUUGGAAAAUGUGGGUGUAUGUGUGGAAUUACCCAGUGUCUGUUGAAGAAGGAGAACGGAUGCACACCAGUACUAAGCUUGGACUCCAAGCUCUUCUUCCAACUUCCAGACAGAAAACAAUCUUCUGCCUGCAAAAGAUUUCACAGGCUUCCUAAUUUUAGGAUACAAUCAAGUGAAUGAAGAAGAAAGACAUCUGGAAGAUAAGGGCAUCACGACUACUUCAGGACAUCAGUAAUGCUAGGAUUUUGUUACCCUCUGUUGUUGUUUGUGGCUGGGUGAGAGUCUCUUGAUGGCUUCCAUAUUGAAAGAUUUAAAAAUGGAAUUCUGAAGUAUUCAAUCAAGAACAUGAAGGCUUGUAAACAGUUUGAUUUCAUGGCCCUUACUCAAAUGGAUUCGCUUUUUAAUGCAUUUUGGCAAGCCGUGCUCCACAGUGUAGGAGGCAGGAAGGACAUUUACAUCAGUGCAAACUGGGGCGUUGGUUUCCAUGAAGAGAAAACUCAGAACACUUCCAAACAAAAAAGGGCUCCUGGACACAAUGCAAGAAGGACGCUGUGAGAAGAGGUCCAGAUUUAGCAAUAAGAAUACAAACAUGAAAGCAGUUCUGUGCUGGAAAGACAUUUAAAAAUCCUGAGAUCUGCAGGCCAGAGCCUGCCACUGGAAUUGGCAAAAGAAGAAGAAACAACUGACUUUCAUUUUGGCUUUUGCCACAAGUCCAAGUGCUUUGUGAUUCUUGCCCAAAGUCUCUAAAUGAGAUGCUUGGUGUGUAUUCCAAAGUUCUUGCCUUCUGACGCUAGUGUGGAAGACGCAGCACACUCUUUUUCCUUUCUUCCCAGUGGAAAGAGUUUUAGGACAUAAGCGGCCUUGACCAACAUGUUGAAAAUAAAAUUAUUUUCCAACAUA